rnacentral:misc_RNA from 1 species
CCUAUUAAUAGCAUCGGUGACGGGGCAAAAAUUUAUUUAUGGAGUUCAUUCGUUAUCGAGGCAUUGAAGCCUAUAGCGAGCCUCGAUGCGCACUCGUGCGAAACUCGCGUGUUUUUGAACACGCGCGACGAACGCAAUUGUUUACUUGAUAAAAACAAUACAUCGAAGCAGAGUGGAAUCCGCGCGUGGCUCUGUCAACAAACGAAAAUAAUCUGCCGAGCAAACAAGAUGGGGCAAAAGUAUCGCGUGACAACAGCAUGCGAAUUCAGUUCGAUGGAAACAUUUGGAGUCGCGUCUCUGUGGGAGAAAAAUCAACGGAAGCCGGCGUUCGCGUUACUCAUCGCGAUAUUGACGCUAAUUACCGAUUCGUCGAACGUGGAAAUUUAUUCGCCGGGCAAAUUAAUUAGGGUGGACGCAGCUUUUAACGGCAUCUCGGAUCGUUUCUCUUGCAGAUGAAUUACCCAGAAUGCUUGGUUACUUCGGCAGGCGACAGGUGAAGCGUAUCAAGUUGUUGGAUGAGCCGCGUUAUCGGUGUGAAAAUAACGGCCACGAAUCUAAUGAGUCGCGUCUGACCACCGGUUUUUAAACGAUGCAGAUUAGGAAAUUCGAUAAGAUCCGAUUACACGUCGCGAUCCGUGUUAAUAAUUGCAUGCACGAAGAGACGAAUCAUCGACGCCAUGAUGCGUAUCCCUUCACAAAGUCAGAUAAGCAAACUCAUUCGGACUAUGGUACCGUCUGACGAAUAUAUCGUUGAAUGAAUUAAUGAAUUCAGGUUGGACUGUUCAUCUUCUGGUUUACACGCGCCAAUGCUGAACGCUUUGAACUUAUAUGGUUACUUGAUGACGUUUCAAUUAGUUUUCUGACACAGAAAUAUCCUUUUUCUCUCCAUACGGUAGAUAUUAUUUGUCGAUGUAAGUACUGUCAUUUUAUAUAUAAUGGACACCUGUAGGAAACCUUUUAUGGAUAUUACUGGCAAUAAUUAUUUGAACGUUCAAUUAUUUAUCGCAUUAAUAAGCCGUAAUGUUUUUAGUGGCUUUCAUCUUCAACGCUAAUUAUAUGCUCAAGACUGCUAUUCGAGCUGUGUACUAAUUUUUUGAUUUCAUCGAACGACUUAUUCUACACACGUUUUCAGAAUGGUCCCAUAUUUUACCAAUGUAAUCGCAAUACUCGUAUCUUACGAGUAUGUUAAUUGUUGAGCAUGAUUAUAGAAGAACGAGUGGGUGAAUUUGUAAUAGGAAAAUAUAUUGAAAUAAAUAAAGGUAUAAUUGUAAGUGUAAUGUAUAGGUUUAUG